CAUGAUUAGGUCAAAUCCCAAGUCGCUCAACCCGACUUGUUUGUCUUGUCUAUAGAAGUGUUGUCCUCACAACAUGUAGGACGUAGCACAAUUUUGUUUUGGGAAAAACGACUUGUAGCACAGUAUUUUUUGCAAUUUUGUUUGUCGUCUUUGCAAGAGAGUGAAACCGAGAGACACAGAGGACAGAGCAAAUGAAAAAAAGAAAAAAAAAAGGCGUUUUGGGGGCUGAGACUUUCUCAGAGCGAUGGAGAUAGUGAAGAAAGUCAAGACUCAAGAAACACGAUUUGGAAUGAAGCAGUCCUGAGGGCAUGUGGAGAACCACCGCUAUUGAAAACUGCAGUUUUUGGUGCUGCUGGAAUUAAAGAGAAAUGGCAUUAGCACCCAGUCUUAACCUGCAAAGUGAGUGAGUACACGAGAUAAGUACAAAGAAUGCCCUUUGAUUUCAAGUUUUGGGCAGCUAGAUCCAUAUUAUCUCUAGAAAGUAUAAAGAAUUAGUCACUCUGUACAAAACUUCAUUGUCUCCCACUUUUUGACAUAAAGCACAAAAAAUUGAAAAAUAGACCAUGCAGCUUAGGGCUUGCUAGGGAAAUGUCAAAAAGGAGUUAGUGAUUACUUCUGGAUGAAGUUACCAUUAUGACAAUGAUGUGAAUUUUGAAGGAACCAAAAUUUCCUCAAUUUGCAGAUUGGAUUUCUAAUGUCUGAUUGUUGAAACGUUUGAUUGCUAGCAGUGAAAAAUCAUCUAGCUACUUAUUGCAAAUUGGUAGGAGCUGCUUAAUGUAAAAAUAUACUGCGAUUACGUUGUGUUCACUUUUUAAAGUCUUUUAUCUUGUCCAGCUUUAGAUAGGGCAAUUCUCCCCAUUACUGUUGUAGCAAUUCUUAGUCAACCAUUACAGGUACAGAACGAACCUGGUAGCUGCAAUUCACACAGUUGUGUACCAAUAUAACUGACUUUACUAACAGAAUGGGGGAAUUCAACAAUCUGGUAAUAAGUUUCUUCUUGUGAUGAUUGGUAGAGUGGAAGAAAGCUACAAAAAGAUACCUUUGGGUAUGAUUGUGACCAUGGUAUUUGGCAUUGAAUGAUUUGUGAUACAUAUUGUCCAAUAUGUCUUGACGAAUCGAAGCAAAAAAGUGUCAUAUUGUAGUCGUGUAUUGGGCAGGUUCAUGAAUUGUACACACGUAUGUAUAUCGUAUGACUUGUAUCAAAUUAGUGACUUGGAUAAUUUUUCUUAUAUUGUACUUUUGCUAAUAUUUGAGAUUUGAAUGGAGUUCAAUAAGUUGUACUUAUUUUAACACGAGUUUCUCGUGGUACUCGUUGAGCCAAAUAAAAUAACUGUCUAUGACUCCUAUCUA